UAACAUUGCUGCCUGUGAUGUAUGUGAAAAAACUUUCAAAAAUGUUGCAUGUCUGAGACAUCACAAAAGUAACGUUCAUGAAGUCUCUAUUAAUGCUGCCUGUGAUGUAUGUGAAAAAACUUUCAAAAAUGUGACAAGUCUGAGACGUCACAAAACUUACGUACAUGAAGUCUCUAAUAAUGCAGCCUGUG